rnacentral:rRNA from 1 species
GCCGGCAUUUUUAGAUAGAAGAAACAGUGCGAACGUAGUUCAGUGGUAGAAC